GUGUGAAGACAACACAUGAUGAGAUGAUGGCCAUUUACUUCACCAGUGGAACAAGUGGACCUCCUAAAAUGACCGGACACACCCACAGCAGGUUUGGCUUAGGAUUAUCUGUAAACGGAAGGUUCUGGCUGGAUUUGACACAUUCAGAUGUGAUGUGGAAUAUCUCAGACACAGGUUGCGCAAAGUCUGCAUGGAGUAGUGUUUUUUUCUCCAUGGAUCCAGGGAGCAUGUGUAUUUGCACAUUAUCUGCUGGGUUUUGAGCCAACUUCCAUCUUGGAAACACUUUCUAAGUUUCCCAUCACAGUCUUCUGUUCAUCGCCAACUGCAUACCCAAUGCUUGUACAGAGUGAUAUGAACAGGU